rnacentral:rRNA from 1 species
GGCGAACGGGUGAGUAACACGUGGGCAACCUGCCCAAAAGAGGGGGAUAACACUUGGAAACAGGUGCUAAUACCGCAUAACCAUAGUUACCGCAUGGUAACUAUGUAAAAGGUGGCUAUGCUACCGCUUUUGGAUGGGCCCGCGGCGCAUUAGCUAGUUGGUGGGGUAAAGGCUUACCAAGGCAAUGAUGCGUAGCCGAACUGAGAGGUUGAUCGGCCACAUUGGGACUGAGACACGGCCCAAACUCCUACGGGAGGCAGCAGUAGGGAAUCUUCCACAAUGGGCGAAAGCCUGAUGGAGCAACGCCGCGUGGGUGAAGAAGGUCUUCGGAUCGUAAAACCCUGUUGUUAGAGAAGAAAGUGCGUGAGAGUAACUGUUCACGUUUCGACGGUAUCUAACCAGAAAGCCACGGCUAACUACGUGCCAGCAGCCGCGGUAAUACAUAGGUGGCAAGCGUUAUCCGGAUUUAUUGGGCGUAAAGGGAACGCAGGCGGUCUUUUAAGUCUGAUGUGAAAGCCUUCGGCUUAACCGGAGUAGUGCAUUGGAAACUGGGAGACUUGAGUGCAGAAGAGGAGAGUGGAACUCCAUGUGUAGCGGUGAAAUGCGUAGAUAUAUGGAAGAACACCAGUGGCGAAAGCGGCUCUCUGGUCUGUAACUGACGCUGAGGUUCGAAAGCGUGGGUAGCAAACAGGAUUAGAUACCCUGNUAGUCCACGCCGUAAACGAUGAAUGCUA